rnacentral:rRNA from 1 species
UGGUGGUGCAUGGCCGUUCUUAGUUGGUGGAGUGAUUUGUCUGGUUAAUUCCGUUAACGAGCGAGACCUGGGCGUGCUAAAUAGGGAGUAUUACCAAUUGGUAGUACGCGCCCUUCUUAGACGGACUGGGGGCGUCUAGCCCCCGGAAGCUCCAGGCAAUAACAGGUCUGAGAUGCCCUUAGAUGUUCUGGGCCGCACGCGUGCUACACUGAGUGGAUCAGCGGGUUAGGUAACACGAAAGUGUAUCCUAAUCUUCAAAUCCGCUCGUGAUGGGGAUUGAUGGUUGCAAUUUUCUAUCAUGAACGAGGAAUACCUUGUAAGCGCAUGUCAUCAUCAUGCGCUGAAUACGUCCCUGCCCUUUGUACACACCGCCCGUCGCUCCUACCGAUUGAGUGGUCCGGUGAGGCUUUGGGACCUAGGCGGAAAAAGCGUUUCGCUUGUUCUGCUCGGGAAACUCAGUCGAACCUUAUCAUUUAGAGGAAGGAGAAGUCGUAACAAGGUUUCCGUAGGUGAACCUG